rnacentral:rRNA from 1 species
ACACGACUACAUUAGAUACCCCCGGUAGUCCCAGCCCUAAACGAUGCGCGUUAGGUGUAUCGGUGACCACGAGUCACCGAGGUGCCGAAGGGAAACCGUGGAACGUGCCGCCUGGGAAGUACGGUCGCAAGGCUGAAACUUAAAGGAAUUGGCGGGGAGCACCACAACGGGUGGAGCCUGCGGUUUAAUUGGACUCAACGCCGGGAAGCUCACCGGAUAAGACAACGGAAUGAUUGCCGGGCUGAAGACCCUGCAUGACCAGCUG